UGGCCGGGGCGGCCCGGGGUGCUCCGGCAGGAGGGUGGUCACUGCUGACGGGAGUAAACACCGGAACGGGGAGGCCAGUCGCUAGCUAGAAAUCACCCUUUGUCACCCUUCUCUGGACACUUUCCAGCACCUCAACAUCUCUCUUGAACUGAGGAGCCCAGACCUGGACACAGCACUCAAGGCUGAUGGUAACUGAAUCCGGACACAGAGAAUGCAGGAGCUGAGGCAGGAUGGAAAGACAGCAAACAAACCCAGGCACCUUCCUAGGCUGCAGCAAGAGCAGUGUGGCCAACAGGACAAGGGAAGAGAUUCUGCCCCUUUACUCUGCUCUCCUCAGACCCCACCUGCAGUCCUGGGGGCAGUUCUGGAGCCCCCAACACAAGGAGGACAUGGAACUGUUUGAGCCAGUCCAGAGGAGGCCACUAAGAUGCUGAGAGGGCUGCAGCAGCUCUGCUAUGAGGACAGGCUGAGAGAGUUGGGGCUCUGCAGCAUGAAGAGGAGGCUUCGAGGAGACCUUGGAGUGACCUUCCAGUAUCUGAAGGGGACCUACAGCAAGGCUGGGGAGGGACUAUUGACAAGGUCUGAUAAUGACAGGACAAGGGGGAAUGGGUUUGAACUGGCAGAGAGGAGAUUUAAACUGGAUGUUAGGAAGAAGUUGUUUGCAGUGAGGGUGGUGAGACACUGGCACAGGUUGCCCAGGGAGGUUGUGGCUGCUUCCUGCCUGGAGGUGUUCAAGGCCAGGUUGGAUGAGGCCUUGAGCAACCUGUUCUAGUGGGAGGUGUCCCUGCCUGUGGCAGGGAUUUGGAACUGGAUGAUCCUUGAGGUCCUUUCCAACCUAAACCACUCUAUGACCACCAGCAGCUCACUGCAAAACAGCACUACCAGCACAGCAAGCACCAACGAUGCCUACAGAGAUAACCAAAGACACAGGAGGGACUCAACCACAGUGCUGACAAUGAAGCACAGCAGCCUUCUCUCUUGCUUCCAAACAGAUUACUUUGCCUUUCCAGUUAAAAAAAAAAAAGGCAAAACAAAAAAAGCAACACUUCUGAGGUGCUAAAAUGGUUACUGAGAGCCUUGGAUUCCUAGCAGAAGUCUGCCUUGCUCAUCAGCAGAUCAUUGCUUUGCUUUUAUUCCCACAUGUUUAUAACAAUAGCAUCACCUGUAGAAAGUGUCAGCACCUGGCUAUCCAUAAAUCUCCACCUCCUCUCUCUUCUGCUCACCACAUGAAAUAAAUACUUUGCAUAAGCAACCUU